AUUGAACGCUGGCGGCAGGCCUAACACAUGCGAGUCGAGCGGAUGAAGGGAGCUUGCUCCUGGAUUCAGCGGCGGACGGGUGAGUAAUGCCUAGGAAUCUGCCUGGUAGUGGGGGAUAACGUCCGGAAACGGGCGCUAAUACCGCAUACGUCCUGAGGGAGAAAGUGGGGGAUCUUCGGACCUCACGCUAUCAGAUGAGCCUAGGUCGGAUUAGCUAGUUGGUGGGGUAAAGGCCUACCAAGGCGACGAUCCGUAACUGGUCUGAGAGGAUGAUCAGUCACACUGGAACUGAGACACGGUCCAGACUCCUACGGGAGGCAGCAGUGGGGAAUAUUGGACAAUGGGCGAAAGCCUGAUCCAGCCAUGCCGCGUGUGUGAAGAGGGUCUUCGGAUUGUAAAGCACUUUAAGUUGGGAGGAAGGGCAGUAAGUUAAUACCUUGCUGUUUUGACGUUACCAACAGAAUAAGCACCGGCUAACUUCGUG
rnacentral:rRNA from 1 species